UUAUAAAACCAUUAGAUCUCAUGAUACUCACUCAUUAUCAAGAGAACAGCAUGGGGAUACCACCCUCAUGAUUUAGUUAUGUUCCACCAGC